rnacentral:lncRNA from 11 species
UUUUGCCUUGGAUCUGCGCCCGGCCCUUCCUUCCUUUGCUGGCCUUUGGCUGGCGUGGAGAAGUUACUAUGGCAACUUCCCAAUUCCUGGCAAAAAAAGCGAGGCACGACUUUGCAGAAGGGCGCAACGGGGCACAUGCAGAGAAGAGGAGGAGGAGCCCUUGGCCUGCGCACAAGGCCUUGCAGCCUGGCCACGCACUGCAUCCCCUUCUCAUAGCCGUUGGGGAAAUUAUCUAUAAUAUGGGCAAAGUCCAAUGCCCAACCCAAAGCUUGUUUACCCAGACACAGAUCCGUUGCAUUUCCAGGAGUGACUUGAGAAACUGCAAAUCGCUUCUGGUGUGAGAGAAUUGGCUGUCUGCAAGGACGUUGCCCAGGGGAUGUUGCCUGGAUGUUUUUGAUGUUUUUACCAUCCUUGUGGGAGGCUUCUCUCAUGUCCCCGCAUGGAGCUGGAGCUGACAGAGGGAGCUCAUCCGCACUCUCCCCGGGUUGGAUUCGAACCUGGUAGCCAUCGAGUCAGCAACCCAACCUUCAAGUCACAAGGCUUUAACCCAAUAAUAUAAUAUAUUGUAUGCACAGUCUAUAUAACUUGUAAGUCGCCCGUGAGAAGGGUGAGAUAGAAAUGUCCCUAAUAAAUAAAUAAAUAUUCCCAAU